UACGGGGGGGGCAAGCGUUGUUCGGAAUUACUGGGCGUAAAGGGCUCGUAGGCGGCCAACUAAGUCAGACGUGAAAUCCCUCGGCUUAACCGGGGAACUGCGUCUGAUACUGGAUGGCUAGAGGUCGGGAGAGGGAUGCGGAAUUCCAGGUGUAGCGGUGAAAUGCGUAGAUAUCUGGAGGAACACCGGUGGCGAAGGCGGCAUCCUGGACCAAUUCUGACGCUGAGGUGCGAGGGCGUGGGGAGCGAACCGG
rnacentral:rRNA from 1 species